AAGUCGAGCGGACAGAUGGGAGCUUGCUCCCUGAUGUUAGCGGCGGACGGGUGAGUAACACGUGGGUAACCUGCCUGUAAGACUGGGAUAACUCCGGGAAACCGGGGCUAAUACCGGAUGCUUGUUUGAACCGCAUGGUUCAAACAUAAAAGGUGGCUUCGGCUACCACUUACAGAUGGACCCGCGGCGCAUUAGCUAGUUGGUGAGGUAAUGGCUCACCAAGGCAACGAUGCGUAGCCGACCUGAGAGGGUGAUCGGCCACACUGGGACUGAGACACGGCCCAGACUCCUACGGGAGGCAGCAGUAGGGAAUCUUCCGCAAUGGACGAAAGUCUGACGGAGCAACGCCGCGUGAGUGAUGAAGGUUUUCGGAUCGUAAAGCUCUGUUGUUAGGGAAGAACAAGUGCCGUUCAAAUAGGGCGGCACCUUGACGGUACCUAACCAGAAAGCCACGGCUAACUACGUGCCAGCAGCCGCGGUAAUACGUAGGUGGCAAGCGUUGUCCGGAAUUAUUGGGCGUAAAGGGCUCGCAGGCGGUUUCUUAAGUCUGAUGUGAAAGCCCCCGGCUCAACCGGGGAGGGUCAUUGGAAACUGGGGAACUUGAGUGCAGAAGAGGAGAGUGGAAUUCCACGUGUAGCGGUGAAAUGCGUAGAGAUGUGGAGGAACACCAGUGGCGAAGGCGACUCUCUGGUCUGUAACUGACGCUGAGGAGCGAA
rnacentral:rRNA from 1 species